rnacentral:rRNA from 1 species
ACGGAAGGCAGCAGUGGGGAAUAUUGCACAAUGGGCGAAAGCCUGAUGCAGCGACGCCGCGUGAGUGAUGAAGUAUUUCGGUAUGUAAAGCUCUAUCAGCAGGGAAGAUAAUGACGGUACCUGACUAAGAAGCACCGGCUAAAUACGUGCCAGCAGCCGCGGUAAUACGUAUGGUGCAAGCGUUAUCCGGAUUUACUGGGUGUAAAGGGAGCGCAGGCGGUACGGCAAGUCUGAUGUGAAAGCCCGGGGCUCAACCCCGGUACUGCAUUGGAAACUGUCGAACUAGAGUGUCGGAGGGGUAAGUGGAAUUCCUAGUGUAGCGGUGAAAUGCAUAGAUAUUAGGAGGAACACCAGUGGCGAAGGCGACUUACUGGACGAUAACUGACGCUGAGGCUCGAAAGCGUGGGGAGCAAACAGGAUUAGAUACCCUGGUA